rnacentral:rRNA from 1 species
GACGAACCGAGCGACCGUUGUUCGGAAUCACUGGGCUUAAAGGGCGCGUAGGCGGGUGUGUAAGUCUGCGGUGAAAUCCUCCAGCUUAACUGGAGAAGUGCCGUGGAUACUGCGCAUCUUGAGGAGGGUAGGGGCAUCUGGAACGGUCGGUGGAGCGGUGAAAUGCGUUGAUAUCGACCGGAACUCCGGUGGCGAAGGCGAGGUGCUGGACCCUUUCUGACGCUGAGGCGCGAAAGCCAGGGGAGCAAACGGG